rnacentral:lncRNA from 1 species
ACGGAUAAAUUUUCUCUGACUUUAUUCCGGGAAAGUUACAUAACUUCCCAACAAUCUCAGCCAUUUGAUUAAUCAGAUGUAUCAGAUCUUGCCACCUGUUAACCAUUUUAUUUUUUAAUUUUAAUUAAAACUCAGUGCUUUAUUAUUCAUUUAUUUGCUCUUUCUUCUUCGCUGAAAGGUCCACCGACCACCGCCACCCACUGUUAUCCGUGGUAUGCCGUCCACCGCCGACUCACCACCACACACCGUCAACCACUGUUGACCUACCGCCAUGCCGGCGUUUCUUCUGUUUUGCGAGGAUGAAGAUUAUUUGUGUAUGCCAUGUUAUUAACAAUGUGUUUUCUCUUUUUUGUUGGAAAUUGCUUAAUAAUGGAACCUGUAAUGAUAACUUGUUUGCAACAAACUCUUCUCUUUUGCUGUGUUAUGUGUUAUUUCUGGAAGAAAAAGAAAAUUUGAUUUAGAGUUAGACAUGAGAUUGAAUUGAAUCUCUGAUUUUGAUUUUCAUUUGAUGCAAUUGGUGCUGAUUUGGAGUUAAAUAUAGAUUUCUUCAUUCUGAUGAUUACCGGCAUGUGGUGGUGGUCGGAGAUGGUCGAAAACGGCCGGUCUACGUCGCGGCGGAGGAUUGGCAGAAGAAGCACAAUUUGAAC